rnacentral:lncRNA from 1 species
AGAUCUUAUUAGGACCUUUGAAGUCUUCUUUAUGCUUGAGGAAAAGUUUCAAUGGACUCUCUAGACAGAUGAUAAUCUUAGUAGGAGACUGAAAAGACACUUGACAAUUCAGUCUCAUUCUUACUUUGAGUGCAGGAACCACUGCAAGAUGAGCUGAUAAGCAGGGAGACAUUUUUAAGUGGGUUUCAGUGAUAAAUGUUUUUAUAUGAUAUGAAAUCAAAUGAAAGGCUAUUUAUAUAGGUAGAUAAUGACAUGCAGCACAUUGGAGGAACCAUAUUUCAUAGUCAAAUCUAAACAUGUCAUAGAACCCUGAUCUCUAUUACCUUGUCCUCAGUAAAAGAGUAAGAAAGAAAUUUUGUUUUUCAUGUAAUUGAAAAACAUGACUGGCAGGCUUCAAAAUUCUGAGCUCGCUGGGACUGACAGCCCCUCAUUCCAAUUUAAAGGACUGACGGGGUUGACACCCUUCCCGUGACAGACUAAUAAUGAGAUUCCAGUAAUGAAUCCAUUUGUUUUGCAAAUGACACCAUGGCAUUGGAAGACAGCUGAGUCUAACUCAAACUGAACAUUUCCUACCAAAUAUUCUGAAACAUGAAGUUGGUCCCGUAAUCCAAGUAUUCUUGGUCAUGGCUGUCCCUUGUGGAAUACAGAGAGUUCAGGAAAAGUACAGAAGCUGAGAACAAAAUCCCUGAGUGGCCCCAACAAUCUUUUUUGAUGUAAGGCAGGGAAGCUCAGCCCAGACUGGUGAUUUCUGGUUUUUUACCCCCAACAUAUAUCCUAACUGUCAUGUAAAAAAAAAAGAUGGAUAGCUUCUCCUUGUUAAUGUCUUUUUAUUUCUGGGAGGGAGAAUAAUGAGUUUAGAAUAGCAUUGUCUAUGCGGCAGUUCUAAAGCUGGAGCAGGGUGAGGUGGGUCUUGGAGUUGCUGGAAGAACCACUAGGCCACUGGGUCCACAUUUUCAAUCCACUGUAUUCCCUCCAGUUAGUGACUGCCCUGAAGCCCCAGUCCUGCAGAAACACAAUCGCUCCCACUUUUUGAAGGGCUAAUCAUUUACUUUUGUGCACCUUGUUUAUCUUCUCUUUUCAACUAUUAGGACUUCUCUUUCCUUCUAUUAGAAUUUCACCCUGAGGAUGGAAAACAAAAAACAUUUGGAAAUAAAAUUCACAUCUAUUUUGUUUCUCGUUAAGGAUUGAUUUAUUGAAGCAGUUUUGAAAUCAUUGGUAAAAUGAAUGUCAGUGCAUUAUAUACUGUGAGUUUUUAAUAUCCAUAAUGUCCCUUUCCCAUCCACUGCAAACAAUUGCAAGUUGGCUAUAUGCUUGCAGAACAUAAAUGAAAAAAGGAUAGCAAAGAAUUUGGCUUUCCUCAAAUGAAAGCUAUUUUGAUUUUGUUCACUACUGAAAUUUGAACCAGUAGAACAGCUCAACUCAAAAUUGAGUUUUGGGAAUACAGUAAUAGCUCUUGGUUAAAUAUGCACUUUUAUCCCCAUCUUAAAUCUUUGACCAAAAAUUUGCGUUGUUUUAUAAUUUUUUUGACUUUGUGUUACCACAUUAUGGCUGAAUGACCUUGAAAUUCCAUUGGAUUUUGUAAAAAAAAAAAAAAGUCAAAUUUAAAUAGUAUCCAAAGUGUAACUUCAGUGUUAUGCUUUGUAUUGUUAACCCUCUAAUCUUAUUAAGAAAGAUGCUCUGUCCUCCUCCCCGAAAUAGGUUAUUUUUUCAUAUGUGAAACAGGAGUUAUUCCAUGUUUCAAAACAGGAAAAAUAUUUCACAGAGAUACUUGAAAAACUUUUCUCCAUUCUGGGAAUUAAUGCUUCCAUUUAUUUAAAAAG